rnacentral:piRNA from 1 species
CAGGAACCUGGAGUCAGCAUCCAGUCCCAUC